AAGUGCCUACAGCUCUUAUUGAAUUUGCCCAGCAGGUCUUCAGGCUUGUACCGAAAGGCCCUC
rnacentral:snRNA from 1 species